ACGAAUGGCGUAACGAUCUCCCCGCUGUCUCUGAUGUGGACUCAGCGAAAUUGAACUGUGUGUCAAGAUGCACACUACCCGCGGUAGACGGAAAGACCCCAUGCACCUUUACUCUAGCUUCGCACUGGCAUCAGGAUUGUGAUGUGCAGGAUAGGUGGUAGGCUUUGAAGCGGGACGCAAGUCUUCGUGGAGCCACCCUUGAGAUACCACCCUUCGCACUCUUGAUGUCUAACCGCGGCCCGUUAUCCGGGGUCCGGGACCAUGCGUGGUGGGGAGUUUGACUGGGGCGGUCGCCUCCCAAAUCGUAACGGAGGCGCGCGAUGGUUGGCUCAGAGCGGUCGGAAAUCGCUCGUUGAGUGCAAUGGCAUAAGCCAGCCUGACUGCAAGACUGACAAGUCGAGCAGAGUCGAAAGACGGCCAUAGUGAUCCGGUGGUCCCAAGUGGGAGGGCCAUCGCUCAACGGAUAAAAGGC
rnacentral:rRNA from 1 species